GGGCGGUUAGCUCAGUUGGUUAGAGCGCCGCGUUGACAUCGCGGAGGUUCGUAGGUUCGAGUCCUAUACCGCCCA
rnacentral:tRNA from 1 species